GACGAACGCUGGCGGCGUGCUUAACACAUGCAAGUCGAACGGAAAGGCCCUGCUUUUGUGGGGUGCUCGAGUGGCGAACGGGUGAGUAACACGUGAGUAACCUGCCCUUGACUUUGGGAUAACUUCAGGAAACUGGGGCUAAUACCGGAUAGGAGCUCCUGCUGCAUGGUGGGGGUUGGAAAGUUUCGGCGGUUGGGGAUGGACUCGCGGCUUAUCAGCUUGUUGGUGGGGUAGUGGCUUACCAAGGCUUUGACGGGUAGCCGGCCUGAGAGGGUGACCGGCCACAUUGGGACUGAGAUACGGCCCAGACUCCUACGGUAGGCAGCGGUGGGGAAUAUUGCACAAUGGGCGCAAGCCUGAUGCAGCAACGCCGCGUGCGGGAUGACGGCCUUCGGGUUGUAAACCGCUUUCGCCUGUGACGAAGCGUGAGUGACGGUAAUGGGUAAAGAAGCACCGGCUAACUACGAG
rnacentral:rRNA from 1 species